rnacentral:lncRNA from 1 species
UCUGAUGUUCAUGAUGCCAAUAAUGAAGAUGGUAAUCUGGCUAAUUGGAUUGGAAAAGACUUUGAUGACCAAGUAAGAUUAGCAUUUAGCUCAUUAGCAAUAUUUACUUCUUUAGCAAUCUGUCCAAAAUUUGAAUUGUGCAUAACUCAUUCAAUUUAACUUUUUUUGACCUAGAUAUUUUUCCUACAUGUAGAUUAGGAUUUGUAGUUGAGUUUAGACUAUAAAAACGCUUGAUUUGAUUAAAAAUUGAAUGAGUUACAAGCCCCGCAAGGAAGGGAAUCAAAUCUGAUUUUUUUUUCUAACAGCAAUAAAACGUGAUCUGAUUUUGUUGUUCAAAUGUGCAUAACUCAUUCAAUUUAACUUUUUUUGACCUGAAUCUUUUCCCUACAUGUAGAUUUGGAUUUGUACUUGAGUUUAGACUAUAAAAACGCUUGAUUUGAUUAAAAAUUGAAUGAGUUACAAGCCCCGCAAGGAAGGGAAUCAAAUCUGAUUUUUUUUUCUAACAGCAAUAAAACGUGAUCUGAUUUUGUUGUUCAAAUGUGCAUAACUCAUUUGAUUUAACUUUUUUUGACCUGAAUCUUUUUCCUACAUGUAUAUUAGGAUUUGUAGUUGAGCUUAGACUAUAAAAACGUUUGAUUUGGUUGAAAACUGAAUGAGUUACAAGCCCCGCAAUGAAGGGUGUCAAAUCUGUUUUUUUUUAUAUUUAUUUUUCAGCAUUUAAACGUAAUAUGACUUAUUGUAUGUUUUAUUUUGAGAAUAUAGGAUUAUGGAGAAGAUUCAGAAGAAGAUUAUAUAGAAGAAACACCGGCAUGGAAUGUUAUACCAAGUGAUGAAUCAAACCAAGAAGAGGAGCCACAAGAACAACAACCUUCAAAAAAACGAAAAUUUGCAACCACACAAAAACAAAGACAACCAAAAAAACCAACACAAACAAAAAAACCACCACCACCACAAAAACGAACACAAGAAAAAUACCCAACAAAACCAAAACCCAAAAAAAAAAAAAAGACUCAAAAGGAGUUAAGGGACCGGAUUAACCCAACCAGACGAGGUGAGGGUAGAGAUAAUUGUACCGCUCCUGUUUGGAAAUACUUCGAGAUCGAAUGGAUAAAGGAGGACGAUGGAAUUGAAAGAAAGUGGGCCGAAUGUAAUUAUUGUUUACAUUUACUAGCCGCAGAUCCAAACCGGAAUGGUACAACUUCAAUAAACAAGCAUUUUAAUGGGUGCAAGUUAAAUCCAGACAACAUACCGAAACAAGUUGAUGACAAACAACAAAAGUUGUCAUUUACGAAAGCUCCUAAUGGUGAGGGUCAUGUAUACACAUGGAAACAUGAUGAUACUAGGAUCCAACUUGCCUUGCUAGGGCUUUUCAC